CAGUAGCCACGGGAAUACAGAGGGUGCGAGCGUUAAUCGGAUUUACUGGGCGUAAAGCGUGCGUAGGCGGCUUCUUAAGUUGGAUGUGAAAUCCCUGAGCUUAACUUAGGAAUUGCAUUCGAUACUGGGAAGCUAGAGUAUGGGAGAGGAUGGUAGAAUUCCAGGUGUAGCGGUGAAAUGCGUAGAGAUCUGGAGGAAUACCGAUGGCGAAGGCAGCCAUCUGGCCUAAUACUGACGCUGAGGUACGAAAGCAUGGGGAGCAAACAGGAUUAGAUACCCCCGUAGUCCCUGUCUCUUAUAC
rnacentral:rRNA from 1 species